AUUGAACGCUGGCGGAAUGCUUUACACAUGCAAGUCGAACGGCAGCACGGGUGCUUGCACCUGGUGACGAGUGGCGAACGGGUGAGUAACAUAUCGGAACGUACCCAGUAAUGGGGGAUAACUAACCGAAAGGUUAGCUAAUACCGCAUACGCCCUGAGGGGGAAAGCGGGGGAUCGAAAGACCUCGCGUUAUUGGAGCGGCCGAUAUCGGAUUAGCUAGUUGGUGAGGCAAAGGCUCACCAAGGCGACGAUCAGUAGCAGGUCUGAGAGGAUGAUCUGCCACACUGGAACUGAGACACGGUCCAGACUCCUACGGGAGGCAGCAGUGGGGAAUUUUGGACAAUGGGGGAAACCCUGAUCCAGCCAUUCCGCGUGAGUGAAGAAGGCCUUCGGGUUGUAAAGCUCUUUCGGCAGGGAAGAAACGGUUCUGGAUAAUACCCGGAGCUAAUGACGGUACCUGAAGAAGAAGCACCGGCUAACUACGUGCCAGCCGCCGCCGUAA
rnacentral:rRNA from 1 species